AUAGAAAAGAGGAGGGAGAUAUUGGAGAGACAGAAUGAAAGAUUAUAAAAAGCCAUUUCGUUCUGUUUUUAUCGUCUUUCAUAUAGAUGCCAAAGAUUUUAUUCCCAAAUAUGAUAAGACACUUGAGGCAAACACCACAACUUUGCCAAGCUUUGAAGCACGACUACAAUAUUAUAUAUAUAUAUAUAUAUAUAUAUAUAUAUAUAUAUAUUUAUGGGUAAAUAAGAUUUUAUUGAUCAUAAAGAUAGGUAAAAGCCCAAGUACACAGAUCAUGGACAAAAGCAAUGCCUAGAGUGAUGUUCUAAUAAUAUAAGAAAUUCAUGAAUGUUGGAGCCAUUAAAAUCAAUUACAAUAUACUAUUGGAACAAAGAGUUAAAAAAGAAAGUUUUGAGUUUAUUCAUCGACCGCUCACAAUCUUUAAAAUUCUCUCGUUCCUCACCCUCAAAAGACACCACUAUAGACAGAUCGAAAGCAUUUUCCAAAUUGCGAUAAUCUGAAAGGUGCCUUGUAGUCCUCUCUAUGAAGCUAAGAGGUUGACCACCCUUCUUGACACUACUCAAACUACACUCACCCUAGAAGAAAGUCAUUUCACAAAGUUGUGGCAAUCUUACAAUAUAUUAGUACAUCAUCAAUGAAUUCUCAACUCUUUUUAUA